rnacentral:lncRNA from 1 species
UCAGUAACCCUCUCUUUGUGGACAAAGUGCCUGCUCGGUGGUAUUUUAAUCCUGACUGCACAUUUGAAUCACCUAGGAAGCUUUAAAAAAUAGGCUGGUUCCUGAUUUUUAUUCUAUGAGCUCAGGAUGAUGAACCUGAUCCUAAAAUCUGAGACACAUGUCUUAAAAUUGGGGCUAUCUCAGAAAAUAGAGCUGACACAUUGAAUUUGUGAACAGAGAAGGGGAGGAGGAGAUAGGUGGAGAAAACUGCUUCUUAGGAGUGAUUACAGCCACAGAGGGACUUGAAGAGACAUCCUUGGACCCAUAUUUCUUUUGCCACCAGUGACUUCCAAAUCAAAUGAGUCCAAUCUGCAGAUCAAAAUGAGAUUUUUCUUAUUGACUUCCCUGAAAGCUUAGCCGGCUCUCUGCAAAUCGAGUCAUGUGUAUCCUGCAUCCUCAUCAACCAUUGCCGAUUGCAGGGAUGUCGGAACUGGGCCAAGAUUGGCAAAUAUGUCACUGAUGCAUGAGGCUAGGGAAAAUCCAGCUCUUAUUGGCCUGGCAGUGCUGACCUGGUUUGUCCAUAAAUGAAGAGCAAAUGCAAUUUGCAAAACACAUAGAACUGAUAAGGGAUUACAACAAGGCGGGGCUGAAGCUGCUUUUCAAAGAGCAGGCCCUCUUGAAAAGGGGACAAAGCCGAUUUCAAGAUUGAAAUCGGACAGCGUUUCUUAAAGCGUGCUCUAUAUGCCAUCUUUAUCAUAAUCACCUGGAGUUUAUUUUAAAAAUAUGUAUCUGGGUCUAACCCCAGGCCAGUUGAAUUAGAGUGUCUGGGGGUAGGGCAUGGGAAAACUCCGCAUUUAACAAGCCCCGAGGUGAUUCUUGUGCACAUUAAAGUCUAAGAUGUCCUUGAAGAAGGAAAGUUUUUCCACUUGGGUAUUGGAAAAAACACUGAAUUUGGAGUCAGCCCACUUGAUCCUUCAUACAAACUCUGCUGUUAACUGGCUGGAUGACCUCGUAGUGAAGGGGAAAGGAAAUGGGAUGUGAGAUCAGAAGCAGGCACAGGCCUACCUCUCACAGAAGAGCUGUGUAAUGACAGUUAAUAGCUAAGCUAAGUCUCACCCUCACCAGCAGAAAAUGCAGAGCUGGGCUCAGGUGACCUUGAAAGGUGUGGUAGCUCUGACAGUCUAUUUCUUUAAAUCACCUAACAUCAGUUUCUUCAUCUGAAAAAUGGGAAGCUUAUGUUCUGUAUUGGCUAUGCUUUUUGGGGGAUUCAAUAAAACAAUGUACAUACAUUUAAAAAAUAUUUUUAAAGGUGGACACAAUAUGGAGAAGUAGUAUUAAUUUAUGAUAGUUAUCUCUACUUAGAGCAAG